GGCGGGUUAGUCAAUUUGUCAUCUUGUAAUUGGAAUUGCAUUCAUUACCAUUUACAGUUUUUAUUUCACACUGGUAACAAUGUCGCUGUUCAUACAUAUAUUCUGUACCAUCGCUUUUGGAUUUUUAGCCGCAACUGUUUACGGAGGAGAAUACUGUACGAUUGACGUUGAUGUAUCGUCUGGAACCACACGUGAUUCGUACUGCGAGCACGGCUGUUGUCGUGACAACUACGAUAGCAGCAGAAUUUGUUGUGAUGACCCAGACAAGAUCACGAAUGUCAUUAUUUGGGCAGUAAUAGGAGGAAUCGUCGGCGCCGGCAUAGUCAUUGGCUGCAUUAUAUAUGGUUUUUGCAAAUAUUGCAAAUAUCGUUUAUAGCCUCAAAGCAAAAAAGAUGAACAUUAUUGGUGUGAAGAUGGGAAAAACAUCUCCUAGUAUCAAGAACGUUACACCAAAUAUCCCUGGCAUAUACGAGCAAAAGAAGGAUUAUUAUUUGUUAUGCUUUCGUUUUUGUUUACAUGUAUAUUUAUGAUAAUUCUGAUAGUUUUGUUUCUUUUUGAAUUUUUGUUAUCUUUUAUAUAAAACAUUACUCAAAUUGAUAAAAAUACAACAAAAAAAAACACAACAAAUAUAUGACUUGACUUUACAUAGAAAUAGUAGAUUUGUUGUUAUAUGAAGACCACUUCCUACUUUAUCGGAAUACAAAUGUAGGUGUACUCACAUACAAUAUCCAUUGGCUGCUUUAUUAUAUAUGUAUAGUGUGUCAUGUACCUAAAGUGACUCGCAGUGAACGACUUUGAAGUUUCAUACGGGAAGACAAUCCACCUUGAAAUACUCAAAAAAUAUUAAAAAUAACCGUAUGUUUAUCUUUUGACAUAGUAAAUAAAUUCAUCAAGUGUGAAAAUAACAGUUUUGUGACACUUUAUAAUUUUGAAAAAAAUAUUUCUUUAAAUCAUGUCAUUUCUUUAUUUAUCAACUGAUGAAGCUUAUUAAAGCGGAACAUAUUUUGAUAAA